AACAGAGAUUUUGGAAAAGAGUGGGAACAAGCUAGGGAAAACUUGUUUAAGUUUGCUUUCUUUUUUUCAGUUUUAGGCCUGCCAAAUCCAUGACGCAAGGGGGAAACGUAUUCUUGUGGCAACUGAAGGAGCAUCAGAAGCCUGAUUCAGGCCCUUCCCUGCAUUUAGGCAGGUUCUCACUGUUUUCCAAAUACACCCUCAAACUGGCAUGACCUGAUAUCUGAAGAUCACCCUUGCAUAGUCUACCUCCUGCCAUACUCUUUAGAUUCAUCCCUGGGAAGAGACCUGUGAACAAGGGAGGCCUAUAAACUGCUUAGAACCUCACAAUAAGUAAGAAUUAACUAGAGCAUAAGCUUUGUGCCACUUCUCUGUACACGCUGAAUCGCCCUGUACCUGAUGAUUAGCACAGAACUCAUAGCAGGGGCCCAACCACUACAGCAGCAGAUGAGUCACAAAAGCACUACUCUUAAAAAUCUGGCCCCCAGAAAUUAAAGCGCUCAAAAUCCAAAGCCACUUACGAAGUGCUGGCAUCAAUAGGCUGUCAUGUACCACCAUUCAGGGAGUCUAAAAAUACCACAAGACACAGUGUUCACAUAAGACUUCUGCUAUCGAUGUCACUUCAUAGAGUUAAUAACAGUGGGAAAGAAAGUCCUGCAGCUGUAAGUGUAUCUUGACCCACAUACCAUCAAAGGUGGCUAGUGGAAGAACCAGCCAGGAUUGGAGAUGGGCAGACCUCUGCCUCAAAUGAGCACCCAGAAGUUUUAGGGCACAGACAGAAGUUACAUUUGUCAUGUGAUUGGCCCCCUAAAAGUGC